rnacentral:rRNA from 1 species
GACGAACCGUGCGAACGUUGUUCGGAAUCACUGGGCUUAAAGGGCGCGUAGGCGGACCCCCAAGUCCGGGGUGAAAUCCUCCGGCUUAACCGGAGAAUUGCCUGGGAUACUGGGGGUCUCGAGGGAGGUAGGGGCACGCGGAACUUCCGGUGGAGCGGUGAAAUGCGUUGAUAUCGGAAGGAACGCCGGUGGCGAAAGCGGCGUGCUGGCCCUCUUCUGACGCUGAGGCGCGAAAGCCAGGGGAGCGAACGGG